CCGUCGCGCGCAGUUGCAGGCCCACGUUGACCGCCUGCGAGCGGCGGAAAGGUCUAGCGAACCG
rnacentral:misc_RNA from 1 species